rnacentral:lncRNA from 1 species
GAUGGAUAUGACUGUCAAGAGCUACAGACUAUGUUCAUUCCUACAAGUAGAGAAGAAAGUCUUUCCUGACUUCUGCAAGAGCUUUUCUUCAGUUCCUAAAGAGUGGAAUUUGACUACUUUGACUACGGUGUGAGCAGUGUUAAAUGUUACUCAAUGUGGUUUUCAUUUGAUUGGGAAGUACUUCUGCAAGGCCUUAUGGAAAAGUUGGCUGGGUGUUUGUCCUGCUCCCUCCCAGAAAAUGAGUGCACAUGUUGGAUGUCUCAUGAAGAAAUGUGGAUGAGACUUCCCUGCAAGGAAGAGGCUGUGGAAGAACUCAAAUACCCCAACCUUCAGGUACUGCAGCCUUGA